rnacentral:rRNA from 1 species
GAUGAACGCUGGCGGCGUGCCUAAUACAUGCAAGUCGAGCGAACAGACGAGGAGCUUGCUCCUCUGACGUUAGCGGCGGACGGGUGAGUAACACGUGGAUAACCUACCUAUAAGACUGGGAUAACUUCGGGAAACCGGAGCUAAUACCGGAUAAUAUAUUGAACCGCAUGGUUCAAUAGUGAAAGACGGUUUUGCUGUCACUUAUAGAUGGAUCCGCGGCGCAUUAGCUAGUUGGUAAGGUAACGGCUUACCAAGGCAACGAUGCGUAGCCGACCUGAGAGGGUGAUCGGCCACACUGGAACUGAGACACGGUCCAGACUCCUACGGGAGGCAGCAGUAGGGAAUCUUCCGCAAUGGGCGAAAGCCUGACGGAGCAACGCCGCGUGAGUGAUGAAGGUCUUCGGAUCGUAAAACUCUGUUAUUAGGGAAGAACAAAUGUGUAAGUAACUAUGCACGUCUUGACGGUACCUAAUCAGAAAGCCACGGCUAACUACGUG